rnacentral:rRNA from 1 species
UACAGAGGUCCCGAGCGUUGUUCGGAUUCACUGGGCGUAAAGGGUGCGCAGGUGGUGAGGUAAGUCGGAUGUGAAAUCUCGGAGCUCAACUCCGGAACUGCAUUGGAAACUGCCUUGCUGGAGGGUUGGAGGGGGGACUGGAAUUCUCGGUGUAGCAGUGAAAUGCGUAGAGAUCGAGAGGAACACCAGUGGCGAAGGCGAGUCCCUGGACAACUCCUGACACUGAGGCACGAAAGCUAGGGGAG